AUUGAACGCUGGCGGCAGGCUUAACACAUGCAAGUCGAACGGUAACAUGAAGAAGCCUGCUUCUUUGAUGACGAGUGGCGGACGGGUGAGUAAUGCUUGGGAAUCUAGCUUAUGGAGGGGGAUAACUACGGGAAACUGUAGCUAAUACCGCGUAGUAUCGAGAGAUAAAAGUGUGGGACCUUCGGGCCACAUGCCAUAGGAUGAGCCCAAGUGGGAUUAGGUAGUUGGUGAGGUAAAGGCUCACCAAGCCGACGAUCUCUAGCUGGUCUGAGAGGAUGACCAGCCACACUGGGACUGAGACACGGCCCAGACUCCUACGGGAGGCAGCAGUGGGGAAUAUUGCGCAAUGGGGGCAACCCUGACGCAGCCAUGCCGCGUGAAUGAAGAAGGCCUUCGGGUUGUAAAGUUCUUUCGGUAGCGAGGAAGGCACUUAGUUUAAUAAACUAGGUGAUUGACGUUAACUACAGAAGAAGCACCGGCUAACUCCGUGCCAGCAGCCGCGGUAAUACGGAGGGUGCGAGCGUUAAUCGGAAUAACUGGGCGUAAAGGGCACGCAGGCGGUGACUUAAGUGAGGUGUGGAAGCCCCGGGCUUAACCUGGGAAUUGCAUUUCAUACUGGGUCGCUAGAGUACUUUAGGGAGGGGUAGAAUUCCACGUGUAGCGGUGAAAAUGCGUAGAGAUGUGGAGGAAUACCGAAAGGCGAAGGCAGCCCCUUGGGAAUGUACUGACGCUCAUGUGCGAAAGCGUGGGGAGCAAACAGG
rnacentral:rRNA from 1 species